rnacentral:pre_miRNA from 1 species
UGUUAAAAAUGUCAUCUAUUUUUACUAUUAAAAAGUCCAUGCACAUUAGAAUAAGGUACAUACAUGUAAUUGUUUAGUUAUUCUAUAGCAAUGUCAACUUUUAACAGUAAAAAUGAAUGAAUUUAUUACUA